GACGAACGCUGGCGGCGUGCUUAACACAUGCAAGUCGAGCGGAGCGGCGAACGGGUGAGUCACGCGUGAGUCACUGCCCCCCUCUCUGGGAUAACAGUUUGAAACGGCUGCUACUACCGGCUAGUGGGGGAUGACUCGCGUCCUAUCCGCUUGUUGGUGGGGUAGUGGCCUACCAAGGCGACGACGGGUAGCCGGCCUGAGAGGGCGACCGGCCACAUUGGGAUGAGAUACGGGCCAAAAUCCUACGGGAGGCAGCAGUGGGGAAUAUUGCACAAUGGGGGAAACCCUGAUGCAGCAACGCGCGUGCGGGAUGACGGCCUGCGGGUUGUAAACCGCUUUCAGCCAUGACGCGGUAGUGGAAGAAGAAGCACCGGCUAACUACGUGCCAGCAGCCGCGGUAAGAC
rnacentral:rRNA from 1 species